AUCAGAGAAGCCCAAAAUCACCAUAGCCUGAAUAUAUAUACAUAGAGAAGUAGAAGAAAGAGGGAGAAAUGGGUUGGUUUCCAUGUUCUGGAUCAUCGAAGCAGA